rnacentral:rRNA from 1 species
UGGGGAAUAUUGCGCAAUGGGGGAAACCCUGACGCAGCGACGCCGCGUGAGUGAUGAAGGACUUCGGUUCGUAAAGCUCUGUUGCAAGGGAAAAAGUUCUGAUUGUACCUUGUGAGGAAGGGUCGGCUAACUUCGUGCCAGCAGCCGCGGUAAGACGAGGGACCCUAGCGUUGUUCGGAAUCAUUGGGCGUAAAGCGGGUGCAGGUGGCUUUGUAAGUCAGGUGUGAAAGCCCAGGGCUCAACCCUGGAAGUGCAUUUGAUACUGCGAAGCUUGAGUGCUGGAGAGGUUACUAGAAUUCCAGGUGUAGUGGUGAAAUACGUAGAUAUCUGGAGGAAUACCGGAGGCGAAGGCGGGUAACUGGCCAGACACUGACACUCAGACCCGAAAGCGUGGGGAUCAAACAGGAUUAGAUACCCGGGUAGUCCCUGAGCGGGCUGGCAAGGCGCAU